rnacentral:lncRNA from 12 species
GGAGCGGCGCCUGCUGCAGAACGCCGUGCGGAACGUGCUGGACUCACCUGUCCCACCUGUCCCUCACCUCUCUCCCCUGUCUCACCUGUCUCACCUGUCCCACCUGUGCCCAGGUUGCUGCAGUCGGAGCGGCGCCUGCUGCAGAACGCCGUGCGGAACGUGCUGGACUCACCUGUCCCACCUGUCCCUCACCUCUCUCCCCUGUCUCACCUGUCUCACCUGUCCCACCUGUGCCCAGGUUGCUGCAGUCGGAGCGGCGCCUGCUGCAGAACGCCGUGCGGAACGUGCUGGACGGGGAGCUGCUGGGCAGGUUCCUCUACCUGAGCGCCAUGGAGCGGGGGGAGCUGGCCAAGAAAAUCGGCACCACACCUGACAUCGUGAGUCCCACCCGGGACAGGUGUGGGGUGGGACAGGUGUGGGGGUGGGACUGGUUUUGGCCAGGUGAGAGGAUUGGACAGGUGAGAUUCAGGUCAGGUGAGAUUUUGGGACAGGUGAGAUUGAGACAGGUGAGAUUCGGGACAGGUGAGGUUUUGGACAGGUGAGAUUUUGGACAGGUGACCCCUGACUCUCUCCCCUCCCCCACAGAUCCUGGACGACCUCCUGGAGAUCGAUCGCGUCACCGCCCAUUUCUGAGGGACCCAAAAUCCCCCAAAAACCCCAAAAAAUCCCCAACCCCCCCCCCCCCCCCCCCCCCCCCCCCCCCCCCCCCCCCCCCCCCCCCCCCCCCCCCCCCCCCCCCCCCCCCCCCCCCCCCCC